CUUUACCGUUCAGGAGUUAUGGUUCUUGAAAGAUUGAAAAAUGGAGUUUCCAGUUGUGUCCGUGCAUUUACGCAUGAACUGUUCUACCAAAGCUUCCCAAAUUUUAAUAUGUUGUAACUGAUGACAAAAUAGAGGUCAAGUUAAAUAAUGACGAUUUUGACUUUCACCGUUCAGGAGUUAUGGUUCUUGAAAGAUUGAAAAAUGGUGUUUCCAGUCGUGUCCGUGC
rnacentral:lncRNA from 1 species